GUGGGGGUGUGUGCAGGGUGAGGGGAGGAGGCCUAGUCUGGUCCACCUUAGGUCUAGCAGAGACUACGUGGAGCUUUGAGCCGAAUGCCCUGGUGAGCUGCCAUGGCAACACAGCCGUGGGCACAGGCCCACGGCAACCCAUCACUGAACAGAGUUGUGGCGUUUCAACAGAGAGUCUGGGACAUCAGGCAACGUGGCGACCCGAAGCAGCCAAAAUGAGACCUCGACAGCAAAGGCCUCGACAACGGAGCCUGGAACUUUGCAAAAUCUGCAAGUGACGCCAACGUCACAAAGCGCGACCGAGCCCUGUACGUCAUCGUUCCGCGACGCCGACGCGGUGAGAUGACGCACUCCCGGAAGUGACCUCUAGAGCGGUGGUGAAACUGGCAGUUGACGGCUCCUGGGACUAGAUCCCGCGAGGUAGCCCCCGAACUAUUUCUCUACGUUUUCUCUUGAUCCUCCCGAAAUCUUCCAGAUCCGCGUAGUGAGGAAUCGUCUCCACCGUCAUGGGGGGCGGAGACCUGAAUCUGAAGAAGAGCUGGCACCCGCAGACCCUCAGGAAUGUGGAGAAAGUGUGGAAGGCCGAGCAGAAGCAUGAGGCUGAGCGGAAGAAGAUUGAGGAGCUUCAGCGGGAGCUGCGAGAAGAGAGAGCCCGGGAAGAGAUGCAGCGCUAUGCGGAGGAUGUUGGGGCCGUCAAGAAAAAAGAAGAAAAGUUGGACUGGAUGUACCAGGGUCCUGGUGGGAUGGUGAACCGUGACGAGUACCUGCUGGGGCGCCCCAUUGACAAAUAUGUUUUUGAGAAGAUGGAGGAGAAGGAGGCAGGCUGCUCUUCUGAAACAGGACUUCUCCCAGGCUCUAUCUUUGCCCCAUCAGGUGCCAAUUCCCUUCUUGACAUGGCCAGCAAGAUCCGGGAGGACCCACUCUUCAUCAUCAGGAAGAAGGAGGAGGAGAAAAAACGAGAGGUAUUAAAUAAUCCAGUGAAAAUGAAGAAAAUCAAAGAAUUGUUGCAAAUGAGUCUGGAAAAAAAGGAGAAGAAGAAAAAGAAGGAGAAGAAAAAGAAGCACAAGAAACAUAAGCACAGAAGCUCGAGUAGUGAUCGUUCCAACAGCGAGGAUGAGCACAGUGCAGGGAGAUCGCAGAAGAAGAUGGCAAAUUCCUCCCCUGUUUUGUCCAAAGUCCCUGGAUAUGGCUUACAGGUCAGGAACUCUGACCGUAACCAGGGUCUUCAGGGUCCUCUGACAGCAGAGCAAAAGAGAGGGCAUGGGAUGAAGAACCAUUCCAGAUCCAGAAGCUCCUCCCACUCACCCCCAAGACAUGCCAGCAAGAAGAGCACCAGGGAAGCAGGGUCCCGGGACAGGAGGUCUCGAUCCCUGGGCAGAAGGUCACGGUCCCCAAGACCCAGCAAACUGCACAACUCUAAGGUGAACAGGAGAGAGACAGGCCAAACUAGGAGCCCAUCACCUAAAAAAGAGGUCUACCAAAGGCGACAUGCUCCCGGAUACACCAGAAUAAUCACUCUAGAGAUUACUGAGUGAGAUUAUGGAAUACUUUACUAAAAGCCUUUGAAAUUUGGAUGAAACCUCCUGACCAGGACGUUAGAAGGGAACUCAGGCUGGCCUUGCACUUGGAGAGAGCAGUGAACUGGAGAGCUUGGGGUCCCACCUGGCUUCUGUGCUUCUUGUGCUGCUUCUGGUUUUUUUGCUGGAAGAGACCGAUCGUAUGGUUUCUGUGCUCAACAGAAAACUCUCUGCAGAGGAAUUAGAGCGAAAACGGCAAGAGAUGAUGGAAAACGCCAAAUGGAGGGAGGAGGAGAGACUGAACAUCCUCAAGAGGCAUGCUAAGGAUGAGGAACGGGAGCAGAGGCUAGAGAAGCUGGACUCCCGGGAUGGGAAGUUCAUCCACCGCAUGAAGCUGGAGAGUGCAUCUACUUCCUCCCUGGAGGAUCGGGUGAAGCGGAAUAUCUACUCUUUACAGAGAACUUCGGUAGCUCUGGAGAAGAACUUUAUGAAAAGAUGAAAACUGUCCCCUCUCUUAUUGGUUUUCCUGCAUUUUCCAGGGAAGCUGCUGACCCCUUAAUUCUCUUUAUAAGAGUUCAAAUGACUUCUUUCACAGAUGUCAAACCACCAGUGUUCAAAGUGACCCUGCUUCAUCGAGUCCUGAAACAGCUCACUUCCUUUGAGAGCUAGUGUGACUUGCUUUGUGGGACACUCAGUAACUUUGGGUUUUGACUCUUUAACGGGUGGGCACUGGACCAUCUCGGUGGGAGUGCUUGUGCCACUCUGGAAGCCUGUUCCCUGGGGUUGUGAUGUUUAUCAUGCUACUUCCUUCUUACCUGUGCCAACAGACCUAUUUCACUGCCUCAGCGUACACCAGACCCUUCAGAAACCUCUCUGGUGUCACCCAGAUAGACUGUGCUUACUGAGACAAAUGAACGUUUACUUGAUUUAGAAGAUAAUGUGACAGAAUGAUGUCAGGUUAGGUCAAAGCCAAGGGAGUGACAGAAUCUGGAAAAUCAAACAAUACAAAAAGCCCUAAAUGAACUGUUAACUAUUUGAUCUUUGGAUGUAAAAGUGUAAUGCGUAUAUGUACAAAUGUACAAUUUUUACAUGCUUUUAAAAAAGGUUAGCUUUGUGAAAAUACCUUGUUUGGUCAAUGACUUUACUGGGUAAUAGAACCACAUUGAACCUUGAUGGCAAGUAAUACAAUAAGGCAGGCCAGCUCGUUUUUCUCUCUGAAUCUGGCUGGUUUAGGAGGAGCCUGGGUUUAUCGACGAGAUCUGGAGUAUCUAUUCCACUGCUUGCAGUCUCCAAUGUAGGCAGUGUAAAGGUAUAGUAAAAUGAUUUUAGGAGUCAGAACCAAAUUGCCAAUAUGCUCCAUGGCUCCUAAAGGAAAAUAAAAUGGAAGUUUUUA